rnacentral:rRNA from 1 species
GACGAACGCUGGCGGCGUGCCUAACACAUGCAAGUCGAACGGACAGGCCCUGCUUUUGUUGGGCGCUCGAGUGGCGCACGGGUGUGUAACACGCGUGUAACCCCCCCCUUUCUUUCGGGUAUCUUUUCGGAACUGCGGCUAAUACCCGAUAUGAUCUCCUUCUUCAUGGUGUGGGUUUGAAAGUUUCGGCGGUUGGGGAUGUACUCGCGGCUUAUCGGCUUGAUGGUGGGGUAGUUGCUUACCAAGGUUUUGACGGGUAGCCGGCCUGUGAGGGUUACCGGCGACAUGGGGACUGAGAGACGGCCCAGACUCGUACGGGAGGCAGCAGUGGGGAAUAUUGCACAAUGGGCGGAAGCCUGAUGCAGCAACGCCGCGUGCGGGAUGACGGCCUUCGGGUUGUGAACAGAUGUCGCCUGUGACGAAGCGUGAGUGACGGUAAUGGGUAAAGAAGCACCGGCUAACUACGUG